AUGCAGCAGCCCAAACCCGCCGAUCCGCCGGGCCGGCCCUUCCCGCCGCCUUCCCCGUCGAUGGCGGCGGCGGCCACGGCCAUGCGCGGGGCGCACCACCGCCGCGCCAGAUCUGAGGUCGCCUUCCACCUCCCGGACGACCUCGACAUCGGCGGCGGCGCCGACGGCGACGGCUCCGCGGGCUUCGACGAGAUCGGCUCCGAGGACGACCUCUUCUCCACAUUCAUGGACAUCGAGAAGAUCUCCUCCGGCCCCGCCGCGGGCUCAGACCGCGACCGCGACCGCGCCGCCGAGACCUCCUCCCCGCCGCGCCCCAAGCACCGGUACAGCAGCUCGGUCGACGGCUCCGGCCUCUUUUCCGCUGCCGGCAGCGCUGCGCGGCGGGACGCCGCUGCCGCCCAAGCGCUGGCGGAUGUCCUGGAGGCCAAGAAGGCCAUGUCCCCCGAGCAGCUCGCCGAGCUCGCAGCCAUUGACCCCAAGCGCGCCAAAAGAAUUCUAGCAAACAGGCAAUCUGCGGCUAGAUCAAAAGAAAGGAAGGCUCGUUAUAUGACAGAACUUGAGCGGAAGGUUCAAACUCUUCAGACUGAAGCGACCACUCUCUCAGCUCAGCUCACGUUAUUUCAGAGAGAUACAACUGGGCUUUCUUCAGAAAAUGCAGAGCUCAAGAUAAGGUUGCAGGCCAUGGAGCAGCAGGCUCAACUGCGUGAUGCUCUGAAUGACGCACUGAAGCAGGAAGUGGAGAGGCUCAAGAUGGCUACGGGUGAGAUGUCAAAUUCCAGUGAUGCAUAUAGCGUGGGAUUGCAACAUGUCCUGUACAACUCGUCCUUCUUCCCACAGUCCCAGCAAAACACAGCCCAGCACCAGGGGGGCGCCCGGUUUCCACCCCCAUUCCACCCGCCUCAUCCUAAUGUACCAAACCAUCAGAUGCUAUCCCACCCAAACACGCUGUCAGAUAUCAUGCAACAAGAUCAUCUUGCGCGGCUCCAGGGUUUGGACAUCAGCAAAGGGCAUCCAGUUGUUAAGUCAGAGAGCAGCUCGAUCUCUGCCAGCGAAAGCAGCAGUACAUUCUAA
rnacentral:rRNA from 1 species